CUACGGGAGGCUCCAGUGAGGAAUAUUGCACAAUGGGGGGAACCCUGAUGCAGCAACGCCGCGUGGAGGAUGACGCAUUUCGGUGUGUAAACUCCUUUUAUAUGUCAAGAAAAUGACGGUAGCAUAUGAAUAAGCACCGGCUAACUCCGUGCCAGCAGCCGCGGUAAUACGGAGGGUGCAAGCGUUACUCGGAAUCACUGGGCGUAAAGGACGCGUAGGCGGGUUGGAAAGUCAGGUGUGAAAUCCUACAGCUUAACUGUAGAACUGCACUUGAAACUUCUAAUCUAGAGUAUGGGAGGGGGAGAUGGAAUUAGUGGUGGAGGGGUAAAAUCCGUAGAUAUCACUAGGAAUACCUAAAGCGAAGGCGAUCUCCUGGAACGUUACUGACGCUAAGGCGUGAAAGCGUGGGGAGCAAACAGGAUUAGAUACCCUCGUAGUU
rnacentral:rRNA from 1 species